ensembl:snRNA U6 U6 spliceosomal RNA
GCAUCAUUCGGCAGCAUAUAUACUAAAAUUGGAACGAUACCGAGAAGACGAGCAUGGCCCCUAUACAAGGAUGACACGCAAAUUUGUGAAACAUUUCAUAUUUUU